GACGUAGGAUGCAAGCGUUGUCCGGAUUUAUUGGGCGUAAAGAGUUCGUAGGUGGUUCGUUAAGUCUGAUGUUAAAUAUCGGGGCUCAACCUCGGGAGUGCAUUGGAUACUGGCGGACUUGAGUGUGGUAGAGGCAAUCGGAAUUCCAGGUGUAGCGGUGAAAUGCGUAGAUAUCUGGAAGAACACCGGUGGCGCAAGCGGAUUGCUGGGCCAUAACUGACACUGAGGUACG
rnacentral:rRNA from 1 species